GGCGGGUGAGGAGAGGCACGGAACCCCAGGUGCCUGCGCACCGCUGCGCUCCCCAGUACCCCCAUCAUCAGCGGAGUGGGAGGGCUGGUCCCUGCUGGGAAAGGAGACGGAGGUUUUCAUGCUUUUUGUUUUGUUUUUCUUCUGUUUUGUAGUUUUUUGUAGAGACGGGGUCUUGGUCUCACCAUUUUGCCCAGCCUGGUCUCGAACUCCUGGGCCCAAGCGCUCCUCCCGCUUUGGCCUCCUAAAGUGCUUAGAGUCCAGGCGUGAGCCACCGCGCUCUGACAGGAGACAGAGGUUUUCAGACUUUCCUGUGUAUCAGAAUCACCUGGCCUGCUUCCUAAGACAAAUGGCUGGGCCUCCCCACAGAGCCUGGGAUUCAGUAGGUCUGGGGUGGGCCAGGAGAAGGAGCCUCCUAACCAGCGCGCAGGGAAAGGCCGCGCAGGGGCUGCGGCGAGGUGGGUCCCGGCGAGGUGGGUCCUGUGCACCUGCCGCGCGCGCACAGCCGCGCCUCGUUCCCUGCUUUCAGGGGCCUUCAAGCUACCCCUCAAGCGAAGAGGCAGUGCCUUCUGAGAAGGGUGUGGGUGCAGGCCAUUGUGAGGUGUCAAUUCUCUAAGUUCUUCAUCUCCCUGCCCGACCCCCGCAGCUGGUUCACACGAAAUCACCUUCCACAAUGCCUCUCCAUGUGACAAAAGCAGGGCUUGUGCCUGGCCCAUCCCCAGUCUCAGAAAAGAGUGUAAAAGACAACCGUACCAAGAGACCCUUCUGAAUAGAACCCCACGGUAGCUGAUGAAACACCUUGCUCCUGCCAAGGCCUCCGCCUUCUGGCCCUGAAUACUGUGCUGUCCCUAUAAGCCCGGGCGUGGAACCGCCGGAAUUCAGCAUUGCUACAGUGCAGCUGCAAGAGUGACCUCACCCCUUCCAACCCACCUCCACUCCCCACAAAUUACUCUCAAAGGACUCACAGAUCCCGAGAGAAGGUCUUACCAGAGCACAGCAAAAAAAGUGUGGAAUUCUAAAAAUACCUUUUGUUCUUUCCUACUUCAUUAGUAGAGAUAUCAUUAGCUAGAAGGAAAAAUCUCUCCAAAAAGCAGGAGCAGUGUAGGUUAAUGGUGCAGAUUCUUUUCGUUGUGAAUGGAAUGUUUUCUCAGGACCAUCGAGAUAUACAAGACCUGCACAUUAAUAUUUGAAAUUGACUAAGAUGUGACAGAUGGUUUGACUUUUCAGUGCAACAUCUAUAAAAGCUAACAUGGGAUGGAUGUGAUGCAGAACUGUACCGCCUUCUAACAGCAAGCAAUGUUCAUCCAUGGAUACAUGAAUUAAUUGGGAAAGAAUUCUCAUCUGUUUCAUUAAGUGAUGCAUUCCCAAAACAAUUUUAAUAAUUUUAAUAAUGAUUUUAAUGCAUUUGUUGUUUUGAUCAGUUUAUAUAUAUAUUAUGUGACAGAGAGGUAUGAC
rnacentral:lncRNA from 1 species